UACUUCCCCCAUGCAUGGUCUUAUAUAAAAAUGUAUAAAAAAUGCUUUUACUUUCUUCUGAUACUCACAGAACAAGUGGCAGACAGUCAAAAUUAUCAGCAAAAUGCGAUUGGCCAUCAUUUUGAUUCUGUUGACCCUUGUAGCAAGUGGAUAUGCAAGAUUCUUUUUUUACCGUAGACCAUAUUACCGACGGAGUUACUACCCUUCGUACAGAUCAUAUAACUAUUAUGGUGGAUCAAACAACUACUACAAGGACGCCGGAGAUCGCAACGAAAUCUGGUCGGAUGCAUAGCAAAGGAAUUUGAGAAACAUGAACAAGAAUCAGAACUAGCUAGAAAAGUUUUUAGUGAGCUUGUGUGAUUCAAUAAUUUAGCUAUUACGUAGCCUUUCUUAUAGAGAUGAAUACCAUUGUAUUUCUGGAAUGUGAUAAACAUUUUGAUGUAAAAAAAAAAAAGACAUAUAAAAAACCUUUUUAUAGAAAAAAAUCCUUCUUGUUUGUAAGCUUAUACAUUUAUUGUUUGAUCAUGACAGUUAAGAUCUUGCCAAUCUAUGUAAAUGUCUUUAUAUAGCUGAUAAGAUUCAUUAUUCAUAGUUCAAUUAGCAUAUUUUAUUGUUGUUA